UUUGUGGAGGGUUCGAUUCUGGCUCAGGAUGAACGCUGGCGGCGUGCUUAACACAUGCAAGUCGAACGGGAUCUGGAGUGCUUGCACUCUGGUGAGAGUGGCGAACGGGUGAGUAAUGCGUGACUGACCUGCCCUGUACUUUGGAAUAGCUCCUGGAAACGGGUGGUAAUGCCGAAUGUUCCACAUGAGUGCAUGCGAUUGUGGGAAAGGGUUUACCGGUGAUGGGAUGGGGUCGCGUCCUAUCAGCUUGUUGGUGAGGUAAUGGCUUACCAAGGCUUCGACGGGUAGCGGCCUGAGAGGGUGACCGGCCACAUUGGGACUGAGAUACGGCCCAGACUCCUA
rnacentral:ncRNA from 1 species